UUCUGCUGAUUUUGACUUUUAUGCAUCCUUUCAAAGGUCCCUUGAGAAACUGUCCAAUAUUCUCUUGUGGGUACUACUAUUAUUUUAUCACACUCUGCCAAGUUUUAAGUAUUGAGAUUAUUGAUCCACUAUAUGACUAUUGAUUCACAUCCCUAAAAUGGCAUUUUAAUAUAAUUGACUUUUUAUUUCUAUUCUUUGUAUAUCAGUAUUGUUGUUUUAUUGCUAUGGCCGAUGGCUUGACUGAAAUAAAGAUUCAUCCAUUC